CAGAAUUCCCAGAAAGUGCCAGGUUUUUAGGCAGAAAAUCUCAGCUCUUGGAGGGAAAUCUGGUGUGGUUAGUGACUGUAGGGCUGGCUCUCCAGAACCUUCUCCCACAGAAGAACAAAGAACUGGAAUGGAGAUGUGGGUUUCAAGAUUGAUGGGUGGUCUGGGUUUUACUGCCCAUGAUUCUCUUCUUCCUUUUUUUCUAUCUCACUCAGAAGGAAGAGGCCUUGGCAAUGAGUGAAAUUUACGGGAGCCUAAGGCUAUGGUUUUUCCAGUGGUCAUGUACGGAUGUGAGAGUUGAACUGUGAAGAAAGCUGAGAGCCGAAGAAUUGAUGCUUUUGAACUGUGGUGUUGGAGAAGACUCUUGAGAGUCCCUUGGACUGCAAGGAGAUCCAACCAGUCCGUUCUGAAGGAGAUCAACCCUGGGAUUUCUUUGGAAGGAAUGAUGCUAAAGCUGAAACUCCAGUACUUUGGCCACCUCAUGCGAAGAGUUGACUCAUUGGUAAAGACUUUCAUGCUGGGAGGGAUUGGGGCAGGAUUAGAAGGGGAUGACAGAGGAUGAGAUGGCUGGAUGGCAUCACUUGAUGGACGCGAGUCUGAGUGAACUCCGGGAGUUGGUGAUGGACAAGGAGGCCUGGGGUGCUGCGAUUCAUGGGGUCGCAAAGAGUCGGACACGACUGAGCGACUGAACUGAACUGAACUGAAUGUGUCUUCAGGGCUUCCCUGGUGGCUCAAUGGUAAAGAACCCACCUGCUAAUGCAGGAGACACAGGUUCAAUCCCUGGAUCAGGACAAUCCCCUGGAGAAGGAGAUGGCAAUCCACUUCAGUACUCUUGCCUGGGAAAUCUCAUGGGCAGAGCAGACUGGAGGGCUGCAGUCCAUGGAGUCACAAAGAGUCGGACAUGAAUCAGGGACUAAACAAACAAACAAUGUGGCUUCAACCCUAAAAGGUGGUGUUGUGCCCAAGGUUCUCUGAUGUCCUGCCACCUCACAGAGCCCUGGGAGGGUGCCCCAGACCAUCCGCCUCCACACCUGUUCCGCCAGUGCCAGCUCCCUACGUGCUCUUGGGCAAGUCACUGAACUUCUCUGAGUCUUGACUCCCUCAGCCGUCAGAGGGAGACGAUACUCCUACAAGGCCCUCAGUGCUACUUUGAGGAUCAAGAUGAUGAGCGUGGAAGUCUUUAAUUUACUCUCAAGUGUGAUCAGUAUGAAUUACUAUUUAUCCUGGGACGCCUUCCUUCCUUUGGGCCCUGCUACAUGAACCAAGGUGUAAAUGAAUAUUUAAGGCCCUGGAAGAAGAGAGGAAAUUUUGAAAUAGAAGAGUCCUGAUCUCUGAGAUCUGUUUCUAGUGAUAGAGACUCAAUCACUUAGUCACACAGUGAUUGAGUCAAACGUUUACCUUUGACUAGGUAAAAGUUAGACUAUGGAGUAAUUUUAGGGGCAGGACCAUGGGAACACAAGCUUGAAAAGUGAGCCAACAAGACUGGAUCAAAAUCAGCAGCUAUCUUCAACCAUCAGAUUGACAGAUAUUAAGAAGAAUGGCAACACCCAAGUUUGGCAGGUCGUGAGUGAGCAAGCACAGUCAUCUACUGCUGAUGGGAGUGAAAAUAAAACGGAGUGAUACUGCUGUAGAAUAUCUGGCAGUCUGUACCAAGGUCAUAAAUAUGAAUCCCACCAAUUCUCGGUCCAGGAAAGAUGAAAGCCACAAAGUGUUAUAAGACAAUGAGGACGUGUGGAUGACUUUGAUGACAUGAGCCAACACUCAGCAGCAUUUAUACCCUUUCUACUGUGUAAUGACUCCUCUCCUAACCCCGUAUCAGUAGCAUAACUGAGACCAUCAAUAACUUUUCCUGAUUAAUUGUGCCUUUCUCAAACGAAAGCAGGACAUGAUAGCAGACAAAGCAAAUAAGACAUAAAUCAACUCUCCUGAGUUAAUAACUGUACUCUUUCCCAUUGGAUUUGGACACUACCUCAGAAUCAUUCUCAGUAUAACCUACACAGUCCUUCCUAAUCAAGGUAUAACUUUUAUUCCAUUUUUUAUUCACACCUGCUUGCUCCAUCCCUGUCCCCGGCCCUGCUCUCUGGACAACCCUGUGGGAUUCCUCAAGUCAAAUGGCACUAUAUUUGUGAGGAUAUUUAUUCUCUUUUUUUUCUUUCUUUUUAAAAAAAAUUAUUUAUUUUUGGCUGCACUGGGUCUUCUUUGCUGUUUGCACUGGGUUUUCUCUAGUUGUGGCGAACAGGGGCUGCUUUCUAUUGUAGUGUCAGGCUUCUCGUUGUGGUGGCUUCUCUUGUAGAGCACAGGCUUCAGUAGUUAGGGCUCUUGAGCUCCAGAACACGGGCUCAGCAGUCAGGGCACAUGGUCUUCGCUGCCGCUGGACAUGUGGGAUCUUUCUGGACCAGGAAUCAAACCCAUGUCCCUGCAUUGGCAGGCUGACUCUGAGCCACCAGGGAGGCCCUCUCUUUUUUUCUUCCUUUUAAAAAAAUUUUUAUUUAUUUAUUUUAAAAUUGAAGCAUAGUUGAUUUACAACAUUGUGUUAAUUUCAGGUGUACAGCAAAGUGAUUCAGUUAUAUAUAUGCAUAUACUUUUUCAAAUCCUUUUCCAUUAUGGUUUAUUACAGGAUGUUGAAUAUAGUUCCCUGUGCUAUACAGUAGGGGCUUGUUUAUUUUGUAUACAGUAGUGUGUAUUUAUUUUCUUUCUAACCAGUCAAGUGGCCUUAAUGCUGCCGAUCAGAUUUUCAAGUCAUUAUUCAAUUUUCCCUUCCCUGAAAGGGAAACCCUGCAAGGACGACCUUACAGGCUGACACAGGUAGAGUCUAAGAUGGAGGCCAGGGAGUGAUCCUAGGAGCAUUUCUUACCCGCAGCCUGACCCACAGUCCUGCAAAGUCAGGCUUGUGUUUGCCAUCUCUAGGUUUUCCGAAAGUCAGAAGAAAGUUAUUUGGUUACAUCGAUCACACUAUGAUAUGCUGACCUUGUCAAGUUAAACUUUAAAAUGCCACAAGUAGGAUUUCUCUGGUGACCGAUCCAGUGGUUAAGAAUCCACCUGCCAAUGCAGAGGACAUGGGUUUGAUCCCUGGUUCAGGAAGAUUCCACAUGCUGAGGGGCAACUAAGCCCAUGUGCCGCAACUACUGAAGCCUGAGCACCCUAGAGCCUGUGCUUGGGGACAAGAGAAGCCACUGCAAUGAGAAGCCUGAGCACCGCAACGAAGAAUAGCCCCCACUCAUCACAACUAGAGAAAGUCCACAAGCAGCAAUGAAGACCCAGCACAGCCAAAAAUAAAUAAAAAUUUUUACAAAGAAAUGCCACAUGUUUUCAAACCUAGAAAUUUAACUAAAGUUGAUACUGUUUUGAGUUGCAUAAUUUGCUUGAAACUUGCAGUUGACUUAUGGUUUUAUCUGAAAGUUUUAUGUCAACUUUUGACCCAGAGUACUGGAGAAAAUGAUGAAAUGAAUGAUACUAUCUUCAUUUAACACAUUUAACACCAUGCCUGAAGCAGAAAAGAUGGUCUGUCGAUGGUAGCAAUGUUCAUUUUCCUUCAUCCUUUUUAGACAAAUAAACAUUUUCAAAGUUUAUAUCUAAGCCAGAGGAGUUAGAAGAAACAGCCGUCAUAUCCUAUACUUGAGACAGGAAGAUUUUUAAGAGACAUUAUAGUUAUUUUCCAAAAUUUCUUUUGACAUUUAGGGCCAGAUCAUCUUUGUUGCCUGGGAGCCGUGUAUCAGAGGUUGUUUAGCAACAACCUUGGCCUUUACCCACUGGAUGCCAACAGCACCCCCUUCUCAACUGUGACAACCAAAAAUGUCUUCAGACGCUGCCCAAUGUCUCCUGUAGGGAAAGAAGGUACAAAAUUGCCCCCCUCUGAGAGCAACUCAUCAUUGUCAAAUUGUUUGUAUGAACUGUAACAGCAGGGAAAAAUAUUCUGUGAUCAACCACAACUGCCUUAUAAAGAAGAAAAUCUGUUACGCAAUAGGCCUUUUGGUUCAGCUCUGAUCACCUGAUAGAUUUGGACAUGCUCAGGUCAACUUGGAGCUGCAUUUGUCAUCAGGCAGCCAUCCAAAAGUGAUCAUUCCCAGCAGAAGUGCUAGAGAAAUCCUGACAAUUAGACCACCCAGAAAUGCUGGAUACACUAUUUUUAAAAACAUCUUUAAAAAUAUAGAGUUAAAAUAGAGAGAAAGGAAGAGAAAUCUACAGAGAUUCAAGAUGAGAAAACCAAAAUACAGGGCUAAGCAAAUGCUAAAGUUAGAACUCAUCCAGAAGACACCUGCCAAUCCUUGAGAGCCUGGAGCGCGUGUAUUGUCCUAGGUCUUGAGUGCUGGCAGUAGGAGCAAGUUCUGGAAUCUGUGUGGUCUGGACAGUAGGAUUAGAGACUCUUUCAUCAAACCAGUGCCUCUGAAAGGUAAAACUCUUGGUAGGUGAACUAGAAAAACGCACAGGUUUGAUUCCUGGUUGGGGAACUAAGAAGCUGUGAGGCCAUUAAAAAAAAAAAAAAGUAUCAAAUCACAAAUAAAGAGAGCAAAAGAAGGAGAAAAGAACAAAAAAAGAAUUCUGAAAACACCACCAAAGCAAUUAGCAAAAUGGCACUAAGUAAAUAGUUAUCAAUAAUUGCUUUAAAUGUAAAUUUCAAUAAUUGCUUAGAUGUAAAUGUUCUAAUCACACAGAGAGGCUGGAUGGAUACAAAAACAAGACCCAGACCCACAUAUGUGCUGUCUACAAGAGACUCAUUUCAGAUCUAAAGAUACAUAGAGACUCAAAGUUAGGGUUUAGAACAGGGUAUUUCAUGUAAACAGAAGUGAAAAGAAAGCUGGAAGGGAGUUCCCUGGUGAUAGUGCUUAGGAUUCUGGGCUUUCACUGCCAUGGCCCAGGUUCAGUCUCUGGUCAGGGAACUAAGAUCCUGCAAGCUGCACGGCAAAAAAAGAGAAGAAAGAAAGAAAACUGAAAGAACAAUACUUACAUCAGAAAAAAAAUAGAAUUUAAAACAAGAGACAAAGAAAAACAUUACAUAAUGAUAAAUGGAUUAAUACAAAAAGAAGAUAGCACUGGAAAAUAUGUAUGCACCCUAAAUAGGAACACUUAAAUACAUUAAAGCAAAUGUAACAAUAUAAAAAGAAAUUGAAAGCCACUAAAGAAAAUCAAAGAGAAAAUUUUAAAAAUACACAGAGACAAAUGAAAAUGAAAAUAGAACAACACGAAAUCUUUGGGAUGCAGCAAAAUCAUUUCUACGAGAGGAUUUUAUAGUUACACAGCCCUACCUCAAGGAACAAGGAAAACCUCAAUUAAAUCAUCUGCUGUUACAGCUUCAGUUCAGUUCAGUUCAGUUCAGUUCACUCACUCAGUCAUGUCUGACUCUUUGCGACCUCAUGAAUCACAGCACGCCAGGCCUCCCUAUCCACCACCAACUCCCGGAGCUUAAAGAAUUAGAAAAAGAAGAACAAACAACACCCAAAAUGAACAGAAGAAAAUAAAUAAUAAUAAAUAUCAGAGCAUAAAUGUUAAUAAAUGAGAUCAAGACUGAAAAACAAGAGAAAACAUCAAUGAAACUAAGAGCUGCUUCUUUGAAAAAAAUGCAAAACCUUUAGCCAGACUCACCAAGAAUAAAGCAAAAAAGUGUAAGUCACUCAGUCAUGUCUGACUCUUUGCAAUCCUAUGGACUAUCUAUAACCCACCAGGCUCCUCUGUCCAUGGGAUUCUCCAAGGAAGAAUACCGGAGUGGGUUGUCUGUCAUUCCCUUCUCCAAGUUAUCUUCCCAACCCAGGGAUCAAACCCUGAUCUCCCACACUGCAGGCAGAUUCUUUACCACCUAAGCCACCAACAGUAGCUAUCAAGGGAAAAAAAAAGAAAAGGUAGCUAUCAAGAAAAAAGAGAGGGCCCAAAUAAAUAAGACCUGGCAUGAGAAGAAAGACUGCUACCUGUCUGUUGCACACAGUAGGGUAUCACUCCAGAGCCUUGUUUCAGAUGUGUAAGUUUCCCCAUCCAUUAAACCAUUUAUGUCUCUGGAGAAUAAAAAAAAAUAAGCAGCAAAAGAGGAGAAGUUAAAACUGACACUAUAGAAAUACAAAAUAUAGUGAGAUGACUAUAAGCAAUUAUAUGCCAAUAAAAUGAACAAACUAUAAGAAAUGGAUAAAUUCUUAGAAAUAUGCAGUCUCCCAAGACUGAGUCUGGAAGAAAUAGAAACUAUAAACAGACAGAUUACCAGUAAUUAAAUUGAGUCAGCAAUUUAAAAAUUUCUAAGGAAACAAAGUCCAAGACCAGAUGACCUCACAGGUGAAUUCUACAAAAUAUUGUGAUUCUUCUUAAAGAAGAAUUAAUCCCUAUCCUUUUAUAACGAUUUCAGAAAAUUUUAGGGGAAGGAAUUCGUUCAAACUCAUUUCAUGAGGACAGCAUCACCCUGAUACCAAAACCAGAAAAGACACACAAAAAGAAAAUUUCUAGCCGAUAUACUGGUGAAUAUAGAUGCAAAAAUCCUCAGUAAAAUAAUAGACAACUGAAUUCAACAAAACAUUAAAGGUUUUGUACACCAUGAUCACCCUGGAGGAGGAAACGGCAACCCACUCCAGUAUUCUUGCCUCGAGAAUCCCAUGGACAGAGGAGCCUGGCUGGCUACAGUCAACAGGUCACGAAGAGUCAGACAUGACUAAAGCAACUUAGCAUGGCACAGCACACCAUGAUCAAGUGGAAUUUAUCCCAGGGAUGCAAGGAUGCUUUCAACAUUUCAUUAGUAACAUUAUGUUGGCUGUGGAUUUGUCAAAUAUGGCCUUUAUGUGUAGGUAGGUUCCCUCUAUACCCACUUUGUUGAGAGUUUUUAUCAUAAAUGAAUGUUGAAUUCUGUCAAAAGCCACAGGGCAUGGCCACAAAAAUAGAAUAAAAUAAAAUCAGACUGUCAUGCAGCAAUAGAUAACUGAAACAACACCCAACAGAAACAUGUACAUAAAUUCAUUAAAAGAUAAAGAUGAGAAUAGAAGCACUAUUUGUACUAGCUCCAAGCUGGUGACCCUCAAAAUGCCCAUCAACAGCGGAAUAAAUAAUUUGCAGUAUAUUCACACAGUGGAAUGCUAUACAACAAUAAGAAUAAAGAAAUCAUGGCCACACACAACAACAUACAUGAUAUCCACAAACAUUUAGGGCUUUGAACAACAGAACACAGACACAAAAAUAAUGUACAUGGAUUAUUCUAUUUAUACAUAAUCUUAUAGAAUUUUAAAAUAGACAAAACAAAGAAAUCCAUGAUGUUAGAAGUCAGGAUAGUGGUUGCCCUUGAGGGAUGUACUGACUGUAAGAUUUAUACUCUGGAUAAUGCUCUGUUUCUUGAAUUGAGUAUCAGUUACACAGGUGUGAUUCCUUUGUGAAAAUUUGUCAAAAUGUUUACUCUAACUUGUAUGUUUUUAUAUACAUACGUUACCUUUCAGUGAAAAGUUCAAGAAAGUUGUUCCUGGAAGGCAAUGAAAUGGACUAUUUCAAGGGGAGAAGUAUGGGGAGAACAGAGACAGUAACUGAAAGAUGAUGGUCUUGAGGAUUAAAAGAAACAAUCUUGGUUCCAAGAGAAAGCAAAAAAAGCCUGGAAGCCUACUAAGUUUUCAAGGGAACUUUAUUGAAAAAAAAAAAAUCCCAAGACUGGCCUGGUACAACCUCCGAGAGUUAAUCCACUCCCUUCCAAAGCACACUCUAAACUCACAAGUCUGUACCAGCAGAAGCAGACCUUGAAGGCAAUGAAGCUCCAAGAAGCAGCCCUUCCAGCGCCCACCCAGAUGUGGCCAUGAAGGAUGAGAGACAGGGAAGAACCUGAGAAGGCAGAGCUGUGAACACAAAGGAUCUUUAUGUCAUAUAGAGCCUCUCCCUCCCUAACACCAUCCAACUGACUGGAAGAGAGGUGUGAGGGCUGGAGCUCCAGAAGCCAACUUGGACCUUAAGUAAGGGAGCCAUGGGCUAUAAAGCAGUGGAAUGCUGAGCUAAAAGGAGGAUUUUCAGGACAGUGAAACAAUCCUGUAUGAGACUCUAAUGGUGGAUACAUACCAUAGAUUAGUCCAAACUCAUAGAAUAUACACCAAGCUGCACUAAUGUAAACUACGGACUUUGCAUGAUGACGCAUCAGUGUAAAUUUAUCAGUUGUAUCAAAUGUACCACGCUGGAGGGAUAUAAUGAUGGUGGGGACACUAUGCAUGCAUGCAGACAGUGGCUAUAUGGGAAAUCUCUAUGCCUUCUGCUCAAUUUAGCUGUGAACUUAAAAAUGCUCUUAAAAAGUAGUUGUUUUUAAAAAAUGGAAAGCAAGGGACUUCCUGGAUGAUCCAGGUGACUAAAACUUUGUGCUGUCAAUGCAGAGGGUGCAAAUUCAAUCCAUGGUUGGAGAACUAAGAUCCCACAUGCCUUGAGGAGUGGCCAAAAAAAAGGGGGGGUUAAAAAAAUGAAAAGCAAAAAUUAGAAUAAUAAGAAGAAAUCGACUUAUCUGUCAUCAUAAUAGGAGAUUUUAAUACAUUUCUCUGUAAUUUACAGGCCAAAUAGAUAAAAAUUAAAAAUCAGUAGGAAUAUUGAUAAUUUGCACAAUGCAAAAAUGCUUGACUUGCAUAGUAUUCCACACUAAUUGAUAUAGUGUUCACUCCAUUAGGUGAAAAGAAGGGAAAACCAUGCAGAGCAGCUCCUAGAAUGCUCCAUGCUCUAAAGGGCAGAAACAGGGACAGCCCAGGCAAAGCAGUCAGUAUCUAGGCCAGCCAACCCAACUGCUCCCCCUUCCUACUAACUGCAAGGACACCCCUAAUCUAGCGAUUUUUCCAAGGCCACUGCUGAGUACAGUGUAGGGGAGGACUCCCCAUCAGAAGCUGCUUUAGUGGCCCCUUCUUCUCAGCAUCCUUGCAGGGCCUGGACUGCCCUGGGGUUUGAGCAAUCACAGACCACUGUUUGCGAAACUUGGGGAUUUUCUGGAAAUACAUCCCUGCAGUCCUAGUGGGCAUGUAUUCUAUUUGAGUUCACAAACUCUGUUAACUAAUAACUAACUCCAGAGGUCUAUCCAGGUCAUAGAUCUGAAACUGGACUUGCCCUUAUGGUUUCUGACUCAGAGAUAAGCAUUGCCCCUUUGGUCUCAAGCUCUAGCUGAGGGCUGUCUCAGGAACUUGAAAGAAGAAACAGAGCUACUCUGACCUUUACCUCCAGUCUGUAUCCCAGUGCAUGUUGAGGAAAGAGAUAAUUUAUUAACUCCGAUUACAGGUAGAUUCAGGGAUAGACCUGAUUGUGUGUGUCUGCUAAGUUGUUUCAGUCAUGUCCAACUCUUUGCAACCCUAUGGACUGUAGACAGCCAGGCUCCUCUGUCCAUGGGAUUCUCCAGGCAAGAAUACUGGAGUGUGUUUCCAUGCCCUCCUCCAAGGGAUCUUUCCAACCAGGGAUCAAAUCCAUGUCUCUUAUUUCUCCUGCAUUGGCGGGGGGUGGGGUUCUUUACCACUAGCACCACCUGGGAAGCCCCAGACCUGAUUAUAAGCAGAGCUAGAUCCUGAAGCUCAAAUGAGGUCCAGACUCAUCUUCCGUCUCUCAGUUCUGCUUGCUUCUACUUGGCCUCACGCUAAAUCAGUCUUUGUCCAGAUAGUGGGAAAAAUAGUUCCUGGAAGCCUGAGAUUCCUACCCUUUCAAAUUAGCCAAUAGCUAAGAGAACAUCUGCCUCCCCAUAUCCAUUUCAGGUAAUUCUUUGAUUGAUUUAUCUUGAGUCACAUGACCAUCCUAGUGACCAUGUGGGUGGGGGACUUGGGUCAGCAUAGAAUACAGGUAAGGGAGGGGCCCCAAAACUAUGAGUGACAGCUCUGUAGGGAUUAUAUAAAGGUGAGUGAAUUGUUCUUGCGGAGAAGGCAAGGGCACCCCACUCCAGUACUCUCGCCUGGAAAAUCCCAUGGACAGAGGAGCCUGGUAGGCUGUAGUCCAUGGGGCCGCACAGAGUCGGACACGACUGAAGGGACUUAGCAGCAGCAGCAGCAAAGUGUUCUUGCCUGGAGAAUCCCAGGGACGGGGGAGCCUGGUGGGCUGCCAUCUAUGGGGUCGCACAGAGUCGGACACGACUGAAGCGACUCAGCAGCAGCAGCAGCAAAGUGCUUUCAAGGACGGGAUGCUGAACAGACAAAGACAAGAAAAGUUCACAAUCGAAGGGCAAGAGAAAACCAAGGCCAAAGAGUAGGGUGAGGCUUGGGGAGUAAUUCCGCAUAAGUUCCUGAACAUUUCUUAAAAGGGACCUCCAAUAUGACUGAGUUUCCUGACUAUGAAAACCAAGAAGGAAAGAUGAUCAGUGAUACAAACAGAUACUAGUCCGGGUCUCCAGGCCCUAGGAAGUCCACAGCAUGUUCCAAGUUUCCUUCUGUUUCCCUGGAGCCUCCUUUCUCAUGGCUGUUGAUCCCACAAGCUCUGCCUCCCCUCCGCACGGCUCCCAGAUGCAAGGCUUGCCUUUUAUUUGACUCUACAGAAGAUUCCACUCACACAGAGUAGCUAGUGAAGAUUUUCACGGGAAGACAAGGUUGGGAGGAUGCAGGGUGGUCUUCAAAUUUCCUUUGGCUCUGAUUAUGGAUUGAACUGUGCUAAACCCCACUGCCCAUAUUCAUAUGUCGAAGUCCUAAGCCCAGUCCCUCAGAAUGUGACUGUGUUGAGAUAGUGUCUUAAAGAUGAAGUAAGGGGUGGUGGUGGUGGGAUGAAUUGGGAGAUUGGAAUGGACAUCUAUACACUAUUGAUGGAUGGUGGUUUAGGUUUAGUCACUAAGUUAUGUCCAACUCUUGAGACCCCAUGGAUUGUAGCCGGCCAGGCUCCUCUGUCCAUGGAAUUAUCCAGGCAAGAAUACUGGAGUGGGUUGCCAUUUCCUUCUCCAGGGGAUCUUCCCAACCCAGGGAUAGAACCCUGGUCUCCUGUAUUGCAGGUGGAUUCUCAUUCUAACUAACUAAGCUACCAGGGAUGCCCUGUACACUACUGACAUCAAGCUUCCCUGGUGGCUCAGGGAGUAAAGAAUCUGCUUGCAAUGCAGGAGACCCCGGGUUUAUCCCUAGGUUGACCCUGGAGAAGGAAAUGGCAGCCCACUCCAGUAUCCUUGCCUGGGAAAUCCCAUGGAUAGAGGAGCCUGGUGGGCUACAGUCCAUGGGGUGGCAAAGAGUCGACUAAACAACUAACAUUUUCACCUUCAUAGAUUAUUGAUACUAUGUAUAAAGUAGAUAACUAAUGAGAACCUACCGUAUAACUUCGGGAACUCUACUCAGUGCUCUGUGGUGACCUGAGUGGAAAGGAAAUCCAAUGAAGAGGGGAUAUGGGUGUAUAUAUAUAUAGCUGAUUCACUUUGCUGUAUAGCAGAAUCUAAUAAAAUAUUGUAAAGCAACUAUACGGCAAUAAAAAGUAAUUUAAAAUAAAAUGAUUUUUAUAAACAAUAAAGAAUAAAUACACAGUGAUGAAGUUUAAAAUGAGGUCGCUAGAAGGGGCCCUGCCCCAGGAUGACUGGUGUCCUUAGGAGAUCAGGACACAGGCAGGUACCAAGAGAAGGCCACGUGAAGGCGCAGGGAGAGGGCAACCCCCUGCAAGCCAAGGAAAGAGGACCUGGAAGAAAUCAACCCUGUGGCCACCUUGAUCUCAGUCAGUCUCCAGAACUGUGAGAAAAUUAAAUUUCUUUUAAGCCACCCGGCCCACAGUACUUUGUUGUGACAGCCCUAGCAAAUUAAUAUAGGCCUCCAGCCAUUGGCCUUCACCUCACCCACCACCUUACAGACCUCCCUCCCCAUUCCUCCUCUGGCUUUGCUGAAUUUCCUCUUCUCUUUCUCAGAGGUCAAAGUCCCCUCUUUAUCUCAGGCAAAGCAGCCUGUGCCAUAUCUUAAGCUGCUUGGCCAUAUAUUUGGUAACUCACCGAUCUGGGGCUCCUACCCCACGCCUCACAGUUUAUCAAAAUAUUUUCCCAAACAAGGACUAUUUUCAGCCUAAGCAAUACCAGCAACUGAAGCUGAAAACAGUUCCCCUCCUUUUAGUACUGUGCCUUCAAUGAAGACAACACUUGUGUUAUAGAAGCGUCCCUGUGACCCUCACAUAAAGGACACUGAGUCAUGUUCAGGGCGUCCACCACCAAUGCCCACAAGAAACCCAGUCAUCUCAAGUUCACAGUGUGGACCCUGAACCCAAGGGCAACGGUCAUGGAAGCAAGUGGGAGACUUGUAGGGAAAGUCAGUAUCCAAAGAAAAGAGUUCAAGUGCAUAGCCUUGAACUCAAGUGCACAGUCUGGCUCCAUCAAAUCUGAAGCAUGCAUACCCUGAGUGUUCUCAAGAAAAUUCUCUGUGAGGGUUGAGAUUAGAGCUGGCAGCAGUAGUUCAAAUCUAAAAGCCUCACAAGGCCACCACACUCUGGCACUGCAGUUGUAGAGUAGAGCAGAUUUGCAGUUUUAAAAUCACCCUGGUGGCUCCAACAGUAAAGAAUCUGCCUGCAAAGCAGGAGAACCAGUUCUAUCCCUGGGCUGGGAAGAUCUCCUGGAGAAGGGAAUGGCUACCUUGCCAAUGGUAUUCUUGCCUGAAAGAUUCCAUGAAUAGAGGAGCCUGGCAGACUAUAGUCCAUGGGGUCAUGAAGAGUCAGAUGCAACUGAGCAACUAAAACUUUAAAACUUUUUUAAAAACUUGAGUAAAUACUAUUACUGUGCUCAUUUUUAUUUUUUUUUUAAUUUUUUUAAUUUUUAAUUUUUUUAUUUUUUAAAUUUUAAAAUCUUUAAUUCUUACACGCAUUAAAGAUUUUUAAAAACUCUUUAUGUUGUUUUAUUGGCUGUGCUGGGUCUUCUUUGCUGCCUGAGGGCUUUCUCUAUUUGCGCCAAGCGGGAGCUAUUGUUAGUUGCGGUGGGAGGGCUUUUCAUUGUGGUGGCUUCUCUUGCGCAGCACGGGCUUUAGGCACGUGGGCUUCAUGCCUAGAACUGUGUCAUGUGGGCUUAGUUCCUUCGAGGCAAGUGGGAUCUUUCCGGACCAAGGAUUAAACCUGUGUCCCCUGCAUUGGCAGACAGAUUCUUAACCACCGGAACACCGGGGAAGUCCCUAAAGAUUUUUUAAAAAUAUUUAUUUAUCUAACCUAUUUAUUUAUUUGGCUGUGCCAGGUCUUAGUUGUGGCAUGCACAAUCUUUAGUUGUAGCAUAUGGGAUCUAGCUCCCUGACCAGGGAUUGAAUCCAGGCCCCCUUCAUUGGAAGCUUGCAGUCUAAGCCGCUGGACCACCAGAGAAGUCCCUGUGCUCAUUUUACAUUUGGGGAAAUUGAGGCUUAGUCUGGCUGAGUAAGGUCAAGAUCAAAAGCAAAAUUUUUACUCUGGUCCAUUUGCUGCGGAGGGCUCUAAACUUCUAAAAUUGAGUUCUUGACCAUUCUUAGCGUGAAAAGACUUACAUGUUAGUGGUUAAGAGUAGAAACUGUGGGUUUAAAUCCUGGCUUUAUUAUAUAGUAGCUGAGAGAUUUAGUGUGCUACGUACCCAGUCCUUGCUUCUUUAACUGUAAAGUAAGGAGUGAAAUGGUAUUUGUUUCAUGGGGUUGUUCUGAGCAUUAACUGAGCUUAGAAUAAUGCCUGGCAUAUAGUAGGUACUUACUGCACUUAAAAAAAUAUAUUUAUUUAUUUGUUUAUUUUUGGUUGUGCUGGGCCUUCACUGCUGUGUGUGGGCUUUCUCUAGCUGUGACAACCUGGGGCGACUCUUCCUUGCAGGGCGCAGGCUUCUCACUGCACUGGCUUCUCAUUGUGCUGGCUUCUCCUGCUGCAGGGCACAGGCUCUAGGGCGUGAGGCCUUUUGUAGCUUCCAGGCUCUAGAACACAGGCUCUGUAGUUGUGGCGCGCCGAGGCCUGUGGACUCUUUCCAGACUGGAGAUUGAACCCAUAAGCCCUGCACCGGCAGGCAUAUUCUCAUCCAGUGUACCACCAGGGAAGUCCCCAAUUUUCUGCACUGGGUCUUCGUUGUGGUGCAAGGACUUUCUCUAGUUGUGGCACCUGGGCUUCUCUUGUUUGGAAGUAUGGGCUCUAGAGCACGUGGGCUCAGUAAUUGACAGCAAGUGGACCUAGCUGCCCCUCAGCAUGUGAGAUCUUAGUUCCUUCACCAGGGAUUGAACCCCUAUCUCCUGCAUUGGAAGGCAGAUUCUUAACCGCUGGACCACCAGGGAAGAUCCCUCGAAGCACUGUUAUCUUCUUCUCUAAAUAGAGCUUCUUAGUGUCUGUCUUACAAAAAAGAUCUUAAUGACCCAGAUAGCCAUGAUGGUGUGAUCACUCACCUAGAGCCAGAUGUCUUGGAGUUCCAAGUCAAGUGGUACUUAGGAAAUAUCACUACGAACAAAGAUAGUAGAGGUGAUGGAACUCCAGCUGAGCUAUUUCAAAUCCUAAAAGAUGAUGCUGUGAAAGUGCUGCACUCAGUAUGCCAGCAAAUUUGGAAAACUCAGCAGUGGCCACAGGACUAGAAAAUUCAGUUUUCAUUCCAAUCCCAAAGAAAGGCAAUGCCAAAGAAUGCUCAAACUACCGCACAAUUGCGCUCAUCUUACACACUAGCAAAGGAAUGCUCAAAAUUCCCCAAGCUAGGCUUCAAUAGUACGUGAACCAAGAACUUCCAGAUAUUCAAGCUGGAUUUAGAAAAGGCAGAGAAACCAGAGCUCAAACUGCCAACAUUCGCUAGAUCAUAGAAAAACCAAAAGAAUUCCAGAAAAACAUCUACUUCUGCUUCACUGAGUACGCUGAAGCCUUUGACUCUGUGGAUCAAAACGAACUGUGAAAAAUUCUGAAAGAGAUGGGAAUACCAGACCACCUGACCUGCCUCCUGAGAAACCUGUAUGCAGCUCAGGAAGCAAAAGUUAGAACUGGACAUGGAACAAUGGACUAAUUUCAAAUUGGGAAAAGAGUACGUCAAGGCUGUAUAUUGUCACCCUGCUUAUUUAACUUAUAUGCAGAGUACAUCACGUGAAAUGCUUGGCUGGAUGAAGCACAAGCUGGAAUCAAGAUUUCUGGGGAAAAAAUCAAUAACCUCAGAUAUGCAGAUGACACCACCCUUGUGGCAGAAAGCAAAGAGGAACUAAAGAGCCUCUUGAUACAGAGGAGAGUGGAAAAGCUGGCUUAAAACUCAACAUUCAAAAAACGAAGAUCGUGGCAUCCUAUCCCAUUACCUCAUGGCAAAUAGAUGGGGAAAUGACAGAAACAGUGAGAGACAUUAUUUUCUUGGGCUCCAAAAUCACUGCAGAUGGUUACUGUGGCCUUGAAAUUAAAAGAUGCUCCUUGGAAGAAAAGCUAUGACCAACCUAAAGAGCAUAUUAAAAGGCAGAGACAUUACUUUACUGACAAAGUUCUGUAUUAUCAAAGCUAUGAUUUUUCAGUAGUCAUGUAUGGAUGUGAGAGUUGGACCAUAAAGAAGGCUGAGAGCCGAAGAAUUGAUACUUUCUACCUGUGAUGUUGAAGAAGACUCUUGAGAGUCCCUUGGAUAGCAAGGAGGUCAAACUAGUCCAUCCUAAAGGAAAUCAGUCCUGAAUAUUCAUUGGAAGGACUGCUGCUGAAGUUGACGCUCCAAUACUUUGGCCACCUGAUGGGAAGAACUGACUCAUUGAAGAUGAGAAAGAUUGAAGGCAGGAGGAAAAGGGAAUGACAGAAGAUGAAAAGUUUGGAUGGCAUCACUGGCUUGAUGGACAUGAGUCUGAGCAAGCUCCAGGAGUUGGUGAUGGACAGGGAAGCCUGGCAUGCUGUAGUCAAUGGGGUCACAAAGAGUUGGACAUGAUUGAGCAACUGAAGUGAACUCAACUGAGCCUUGUCUUAUCUGUAGCAAUAGGUAAGUAACAAGCACCUACAAGGUGCUAAGCUCAGCCCCUGCCUUUAGACUGCCCUGGAAGAGGGCAUGGGGGGCAGACACUAUAGAGCUGAGGCACUGAGGCCCCAUGUGGGAGUCACAGCAAGUUUCUGAGAACCGAGUGACAAGCAUGCUAAUGGAAAGAGAAGGUGCAACCAUUUCUGCUUCGGAUCUAGGAGGAUAGGGACCAAUUUUCCAGGAGAGGCACGGUGUGUGCACACAGGAUGUCAUUAGGAACCAGUGCUGGGUGCAGUGCAUGCUGGCAGGAGGGAAGGCAGAGUCAUUCUGAGCAGUUUGUUGGGGCAGAAUAAAGGGCGACUGAGAUGCAGAUGUAACAGUGAAGAUCAGAUAUGCUUAUUGACUGGACAAAUGGCUCAGAUGGGCAUUUUAAGUCGUUCUGGCCAGCCUGGGGAUGGUCGAGUACAUAAGGGAGGCUGAUAAUGUGUCUGUGGUCUAGAAAGAUUCCAUUCAGGUCUCGACACACCAGGGCAUGAGUUCCACAGGAGCUAUACGGACUGAGUGUGCCCAGCCAUGGUGAGAAGGCUGGUUCUACUCCGAGCAGCUAAGCUUCAGGCAGAUAUCACCCUGUGAAAACGUGAUGAUCCGAGGAAGGGCCUAGAGGCAGAGUUCGGAUGCCUGUAUAUGUGAGGGAUGAAUCAAUCCACACGGUCCAGAGUGUCACAGCAACUCUCCAGGGAGCUGGAUGAAGUCUGUGACCUUCCAAGGAAACAAGCCACCUAAGAGAUGGUUGCAUGCUGCUGGUGAAUCCCGGGGUUUCCUGUGGCAGGACGUGUCCUCCCAAAGUCUCUCCCCACCCCGGGGUAGGAGUCAACUGACACAAGACCAACAGAAGCCUGAGAGGCACAGCUGCUCUUUCACCUCAGAAGAAAUGAUUUUGAACAACCAAGGAGUAUUGAGGAACUGGAACCAUUGGGGUGGCUUUGUUUGUUUGGGAAAUAACUGAGUCAAAAGCUACUAGACUGGGUCUAGCAGCUAAGACUCUGCAUUCCCAGUGCAGGGACCCAGGUUCAAUCCCUGGUUGGGGGACUAGAUCCUAUGUGCCACAACUAAGAUCCAGGGCAGCCAAAUAAAUAUAUAAAUAUAAAUAAAUAUUAUUUUUAAAAUAACUUGUUUUUUUAAAGCUGCUAAAUCAAAGGAAAGAAAGAAAAAGAGGAAGAGGAAACAUGAGGGGAGGGAAAGAAGAGGGUUUGAUCCUCAGGAGCCAUAACUGAGCAGGGGCCCUGCCCCUUGUCAACUGCCUGCCCCUCGUAUUCCUGAUGGAGCCUUUGUCACCUUUUGGUAGCCCAGGCUUCCUUCUGCUGGAUCUGCCCUGUCCUGAUCUGGUGUUUUCUGUCAAGCUAACUAAUCUGCCUCAACCUCCAGAGGACCUCUUCCAUGUUGGCUAGGGGCUCAGGCCAUCCCUUCUGGACACCAGCGAUGGGCCUAGAGGUGAGCAUGCAUGUGAGUGCCUGCCAAGUUGCUUCAGUCACGUCUGACUCUGCAAUCCCAUGGACUGUAGCCCAUAAGACUCCUCUGUCCAUGGGAUUCUCCAG
ensembl:lncRNA